AUUGAACGCUGGCGGCAUGCUUUACACAUGCAAGUCGAACGGUAACAGGCCGCAAGGUGCUGACGAGUGGCGAACGGGUGAGUAAUGCAUCGGAACGUGCCCAGUCGUGGGGGAUAACGCAGCGAAAGCUGUGCUAAUACCGCAUACGAUCUAUGGAUGAAAGCGGGGGACCGUAGGGCCUCGCGCGAUUGGAGCGGCCGAUGUCAGAUUAGGUAGUUGGUGGGGUAAAGGCUCACCAAGCCAACGAUCUGUAACUGGUCUGAGAGGACGACCAGCCACACUGGGACUGAGACACGGCCCAGACUCCUACGGGAGGCAGCAGUGGGGAAUUUUGGACAAUGGGCGCAAGCCUGAUCCAGCAAUGCCGCGUGCAGGAUGAAGGCCUUCGGGUUGUAAACUGCUUUUGUACGGAACGAAAAGGCUCUCACUAAUACUGGGGCUCAUGACGGUACCGUAAGAAUAAGCACCGGCUAACUACGUGCCAGCAGCCGCAGUAA
rnacentral:rRNA from 1 species